AGGAUGAACGCUAGCGGCAGGCCUAAUACAUGCAAGUCGGACGGGAUAGGAGAGCUUGCUUUCCUUGAGAGUGGCGCACGGGUGCGUAACACGUAUGUAACCUACCUUGAUCAGGGGGAUAGCCUCUCGAAAGAGAGAUUAAGACCGCAUAAAAUUGCGACACAGCAUUGUGAUGCAAAUCAAAAUAUUUAUAGGAUCAAGAUGGGCAUGCGGAACAUUAGCUAGUUGGUAAGGUAAUGGCUUACCAAGGCUACGAUGUUUA
rnacentral:rRNA from 1 species